CUGAUGGAAGUCUUUGCUCUG
rnacentral:siRNA from 1 species